CAAUAGCGUAUAUUAAAGUUGUUGCGGUUAAAAAGCUCGUAGUUGGAUUUCUGUUGGGAACGACCGGUCCGCCCAUUGGGUGUGUAUCUGGCUUGUUCUCGGCAUCUUCUUGGUGAACGUUGCUGCACUUGACUGUGUGGAGCGCUACCCAGGACUUUUACUUUGAGGAAAUUAGAGUGUUUCAAGCAGGCACACGCCUUGAAUACAUUAGCAUGGAAUAAUAAGAUAGGACCUCGGUUCUAUUUUGUUGGUUUCUAGAGCUGAGGUAAUGAUUAAUAGGGAUAGUUGGGGGCAUUCGUAUUUAACUGUCAGAGGUGAAAUUCUUGGAUUUAUGAAAGACGAACUACUGCGAAAGCAUCUGCCAAGGAUGUUUUCAUUAA
rnacentral:rRNA from 1 species